CGGGUGAGUAACGCGUGGGUAACCUGCCUUGUACUGGGGGACGAACAGUUGGAAACGACUGCUAAUACCGCAUAAGCGCACAGCUUCGCAUGAAGCAGUGUGAAAAACUCCGGUGGUACAAGAUGGACCCGCGUCUGAUUAGCUGGUUGGUGAGGUAACGGCCCACCAAGGCGACGAUCAGUAGCCGGCCUGAGAGGGUGAACGGCCACAUUGGGACUGAGACACGGCCCAA
rnacentral:rRNA from 1 species